AGUAUAAGCAUUAUACGGCGAAACUGCGAAUGGCUCAUUAUAUAAGUUAUCGUUUAUUUGAUAGCACCUUACUACUUGGAUAACCGUGGUAAUUCUAGAGCUAAUACAUGCUAAAAAUCCCGACUUCGGAAGGGAUGUAUUUAUUAGAUUAAAAACCAAUGCCCUCUGGGCUCUCUGGUGAUUCAUGAUAACUUCUCGAAUCGCAUGGCCUUGCGCCGGCGAUGGUUCAUUCAAAUUUCUUCCCUAUCAACUUUCGAUGUUUGGGUAGUGGCCAAACAUGGUUGCAACGGGUAACGGAGGGUUAGGGCUCGACCCCGGAGAAGGAGCCUGAGAAACGGCUACUACAUCCAAGGAAGGCAGCAGGCGCGCAAAUUACCCAAUCCCGACACGGGGAGGUAGUGACAAUAAAUACUGAUACAGGGCUCUUUUGGGUCUUGUAAUUGGAAUGAGUACAAUUUAAAUCCCUUAACGAGGAACAAUUGGAGGGCAAGUCUGGUGCCAGCAGCCGCGGUAAUUCCAGCUCCAAUAGCGUAUAUUAAAGUUGUUGUGGUUAAAAAGCUCGUAGUUGAACCUUGGGCCUGGCUGGCCGGUCCGCCUCACCGCGUGCACUGGUCCGGCCGGGCCUUUCCCUCUGUGGAACCCCAUGCCCUUCACUGGGUGUGGCGGGGAAACAGGACUUUUACUUUGAAAAAAUUAGAGUGCUCCAGGCAGGCCUAUGCUCGAAUACAUUAGCAUGGAAUAAUGAAAUAGGACGUGCGGUUCUAUUUUGUUGGUUUCUAGGACCGCCGUAAUGAUUAAUAGGGACAGUCGGGGGGCAUCAGUAUUCAAUUGUCAGAGGUGAAAUUCUUGGAUUUAUUGAAGACUAACUACUGCGAAAGCAUUUGCMAAGGAUGUUUUCAUUAAUCAGGAACGAAAGUUAGGGGAUCGAAGACGAUCAGAUACCGUCGUAGUCUUAACCAUAAACUAUGCCGACUAGGGAUCGGACGAUGUUAUUUUUUGACUCGUUCGGCACCUUACGAGAAAUCAAAGUGCUUGGGCUCCAGGGGGAGUAUGGUCGCAAGGCUGAAACUUAAAGAAAUUGACGGAAGGGCACCACCAGGGGUGGAGCCUGCGGCUUAAUUUGACUCAACACGGGGAAACUCACCAGGUCCAGACACAAUGAGGAUUGACAGAUUGAGAGCUCUUUCUUGAUUUUGUGGGUGGUGGUGCAUGGCCGUUCUUAGUUGGUGGAGUGAUUUGUCUGCUUAAUUGCGAUAACGAACGAGACCUUAACCUGCUAAAUAGCCCGUAUUGCUUUGGCAGUACGCCGGCUUCUUAGAGGGACUAUCGGCUCAAGCCGAUGGAAGUUUGAGGCAAUAACAGGUCUGUGAUGCCCUUAGAUGUUCUGGGCCGCACGCGCGCUACACUGACGGAGCCAGCGAGUACUCCCUUGGCCGGAAAGGCCCGGGUAAUCUUGUUAAACUCCGUCGUGCUGGGAUAGAGCAUUGCAAUUAUUGCUCUUCAACGAGGAAUCCCUAGUAAGCGCAAGUCAUCAGCUUGCGUUGAUACGUCCCUGCCGUUUGUAC
rnacentral:rRNA from 1 species